GAAGCCUGCCAGACCGCCGCUGGUGCAAGUCUCGAAAGAGCGCACUGGAGGAACGUCCGGACUGCACAGGACAGCGUAGGAGCUAACGGCUCUCCACCGUGAGGUGAGGAUCAGAGCAACAGAGACGAGUCACCGUGGGUGCCGCACCGGAGGCGAAAGCCGAAGGUACGAGCAUCCAAGGUGGGUGAAACGGGCAAUCUCUACGCGCAGCAACACCAAGUAGGCCAGUAUUGAGGUGGUUCCGCUGAGCUGGCGGGUAGGUGGCACCGAGCCGGGUGGGCGACCCCCGGCCCAGAUUGAUGGCGGUCACGCGGCCGGGCAACCGGGCGCGCACAGAAUCCGGCGUAUCGGCAGACUUCACAC
rnacentral:RNase_P_RNA from 1 species